rnacentral:tRNA from 1 species
GUGGUGGCUCAGUGGUUAAGAGCACUGACUGCUCUUCCAGAGGUCCUGAGUUCAAUUCCCAGCAACCACA